GUACCCUUAGCUCAGUUGGUUAGAGCAGACGGCUCAUAACCGUCCGGUCGUAGGUUCGAGUCCUACAGGGUACAUCA
rnacentral:tRNA from 8 species